AUGUAUAGGCUGUCCAACCCUCCUAUAUAGCUAGAUACGUGUACGCCGUGUUGUCUUCAACCCUCCAACUGCACUCAGAGCUAACAAAAUCACGCACAGCAGGCCCUUCGGUGGUUUGCAGACUGCGCUGAGAGAGGUCGGACUCGCCGCCGUCGCUCGCUGAACGAAGACGUGCCGCAGACAUGAUCAUCAGACUGGGCAGACUGACCCCUGGGUACUUCAGACUUCUCCAGAGGCAGGUGGCGGGGGAAGUCCAGACCCAGCCCCAGGACCGCAUGGUCAACCAGAUCGCCAUGAUGCUGGCCAUCAUGGGCCUCAGCCUGUCCUAUUACAGCGCCCGACAGAUGACGGACAAGGUGGAGAACACGCCCACCCCCUGAGGAGGCCCUGCCCACCCACAAGCCAGAGGAAAAGGCUGUGUAAUCACGGAGGGAGGGAGAGAGGGAUGGCGACAUCCAGAAUCUUCCACACAUUACCGCUGUAGGCACGAUCACUGGGGUUUUUUUUUUUUUCUUCCUCCCCUGUUUCGCACAUGAACCAGUUGGGGGAUUGUUAGAUCUUCUCGUUUUUGUCUUAUUUUGUUUGUUUUGUUGUUUUUUUUUUUUUUUCCUAAGAUGUCAAAGUCGGUGCAGUCGUUCGGCUUUGGGAAUCAUUGGGACUUCAGGGGUGGGAGGAAGGCUGGGGGGAGGGGGUCCUGCUGUGCUGGUUUUUAGAAACUCCAGCCCCAUGUUCAGAGUAGGCCCGAGUUUCAGUCACUGAUAUGGUACAUGGGAGUGUGCAGGCUUUUUGCGUUUGCCCGUAGGAAGGAAAGGGGUUAACCCACUUAGAAAGCAAGUCCAUUCCAUUGUCCUCCCUUGCACAGGGCUUGCUUGGACUGUUAACCCUAUCCUUAGUGGAACAGUCUCCUCUGAAAUGUACCUAUCAACCCAUGAAAGCGGGCCUAUGGGAGAGAUAUAGCUCUGCUUUUAAACACCUCUACAGCAGACAUGCAUUUUUAAAAAUCAGUGAGACUAACUGAGCCUCAGAACUUACUGUGAAGGAAUUUUUUUUUGUGGGCGAGGGGCUGAAGAACCUAUAAGCAGAUCUGAAAGGGAAUUAAUAUUACUCUAAUUAAUACUACAGUAUUUUUAAUGUUUGAUUCGUUUUCUCCACAAUGUAAGUUAAAGAUUGGUUGCUUAAGUGGUUUAAAAAACCCCUAUAACCUCAAUCUGUAGGUGUAAGCUCAAAUGGUCUAACUCUGUUGAACAAUGCAUGGGUGUGGCACUUAGUUUUUUAAAAUAAUAUUCAAACGUCAUAUUCUGUUGUAUAAGGACUUUUUAAAAAACAAAAACACAGAAUUGCUAUAAUGUCUGUUGCUGUAAUCUAUAUUUUUAGAAUUGAUUAUUGAAUAAAGCUGUGAUGCGUAUGAACGUGAAGGA